GGGGCGCGCUCCCGGCGGCGGGAUGGCUAGACCCGGUUCCGCAACCUGGCGGCUGGUUUGCAGGAUUCCGACUGGAUCCCUUGUCUCCCCUGCGCUGGGUCGGCGUCGGAGGGGGCUCUGCGGCGGGGUGGCGCGCACCAGGCGCUCGGCCUCAACUAGGCCUCCUCGCCCCCAACGUGGCCUAAAUUCGCCUCCGGAACCCGGAAGGCCCUUAGCAAGCACAGACUUAAUGGGCGCUGUUUACAAAAAUUAACUGCUGUUUUCGAAGCGCCUGCGACGAGUGAGGGGCCGUACACAGAAUACCCUUGAACAGGACGGCGUUACUGUUCCCACUGGACAGAAGGGAACACCGAGUUUCCCAGAGCUCGGGUGCCCGGGCCCGCUCAGGGCGGCUGUCUUCCUCCUCGGGGCUGGAUGCGGGACACUCGAGUCCCUGAGACCCCGGUGGGGAGGGUCCGUGGCGGCGCCCGCGCGUGCGCCCAGGCUCCGCGCCAGCCGCCAACGUGUCUCCGCCUCUAAGGGCGCCGGAAGGUCAGGGUAGGGGUAAGAGGGUGGCUGGCGGGGUCCUAAACCCUAGCACCUGCCCGCCCCUGGCCCUCUCGCGGUGGGCCAUUCAGACCUACGCGCCCUUGUUUCUCGACCUCCGUGUGCGCCCCCACCCUCACGCCAGGCAGUCUUCUCUCCCUUUCUGCCUCGGUGCCACUCGAAGCCCCUCUCUGGGGUGGAGGGGUGUUGUCCUCACCCUCCGAACAGGACGCGGGCCGGCCUGGGCUCUGGGUGUGGUCUCAGCACAGCCUGGAAACUGCUGCCACCUGGUCUUGUGGUGGGUGUUGUGGGAGAAAGCGUACGUAAAAUGCUCCUUAAGUGAUUCCGUGCUACUGGUGUGUCCUCUCCCUGUCCCUGACCCUUGCCCCACUCAGAGGCCAUUCUGUAGCCAUAGAGGUCUCCUGCCCGGCUUCAAAUUAUAUGAUACCUUCCCUAACCACUUAGAGACGCAGGAAGACCCUACUUAUCUCUCUGAGCCACUUCUGUCUCUGUCCCUGCUCUUCAACCCGUCUGGCCUGAAACACUCUGCCCCUGCCGCUCACACAGCUGCCCUCUUCUUGUUAGCGGCUCAGGUGGCGUCUUAGACCGGCCUUCAUUCUGUCACUGUCUUCAUGCACGUGUCAGCAUUGGAAAGCAUCUUACUCUCCUGUCGGUGUCUCUGCCCGCCCGGCUUGUGCGUCCCAUGAGAGUGGACACGUUCCCUGCCUCCUUCCGGGCACCUGCCUGCCACUCAGCAAAUGUAUGUUGAAUGAAUGAUCUCUGCUUGGGCGUUUCUGGAAGCUUUCUGAAGCUGUGUCAACCGGCCUGGCUGCAGUAUUGGUCAUGCACUUCAGCACACCAUACCUUCUCAGGUCUGAGUUACAGCAGUGGAAAUGCUGACUCCAGGCCUUGUUUUGUGGUUAGAGAUGGAUUUGUAGCAGCAUAGGGUAGUACUGUCCUGUCUGGCUGCUGCAUGUUCAGACUUACUGGCCUCCCGCCUUUCUCGGAACACAGCCAAAAUUCCUUCUUCCAGUUCUCUGGUCCGGUGCUCACGCCAGAUGGAGUCCAGUGCAGUAAAUGCGGCUGAUUAGAUGUCUGACUUUGGAGUCAAGUCUCUGUUUGGCUCUACAUGCGCUUGAAUCCUACUCUCAGGUACUUUUGGUGUGACUUUGGAGAGUUGCUCAAACUAUGUGCCACAGGCUCUUUCUCUGCAAAAUAGAGAUGGUAAUUCACAGAGCUGCUGUGAGGAUUAAAUAAGAUAGUACAUAUAAAACUUCUGGAACGGCUUUAUACCCAGCACAGAGCCCAUUUCAGGGCUUGAACUCAAGAC